UGUGCCAGCAGCCGCGGUAAUACGUAGGGUGCGAGCGUUGUCCGGAAUUAUUGGGCGUAAAGAGCUUGUAGGCGGUUUGUCGCGUCUGCUGUGAAAGCCCGGGGCUUAACCCCGGGUCUGCAGUGGGUACGGGCAGGCUAGAGUGUGGUAGGGGAGACUGGAAUUCCUGGUGUAGCGGUGGAAUGCGCAGAUAUCAGGAGGAACACCGAUGGCGAAGGCAGGUCUCUGGGCCACUACUGACGCUGAGAAGCGAAAGCGUGGGGAGCGA
rnacentral:rRNA from 1 species